UGUGUGCUGCGGGGUGCGUGAACCAGCUUAAUCCCGGAGGCCGAUAAUCAACGCUAGGGAGCUGUCCCUGUCUUGAUCCACUCUCACUGCAUUGGGGAUCUUUUAAUACGGCACCCACCUAUUUUUAUAGGGGCCACGCGUGGAUUUCAUAUGGUCACGGCUUGUGCGGCACACUU
rnacentral:other from 1 species